GACGAACGCUGGCGGCGUGCCUAACACAUGCAAGUCGGACGGAUCAGGGAUGACAGCUUGCUGGAGUUCCUGGUGAGUGGCGGACGGGUGAGUAACGCGUGAGGACCUACCCUGGAGAGGGGGAUAACGGCUGGAAACGGCUGCUAAUACCCCGUAAGCCGGAAGGUGAAAGGGAGCGAUCUGCUCCAGGGGGGGCUUGCGUCCUAUCAGCUAGUUGGUGGGGUAACGGCCUACCAAGGCGAAGACGGGUAGCCGGCCUGAGAGGGCGAACGGCCACACUGGAACUGAGACACGGUCCAGACUCCUACGGGAGGCAGCAGUGGGGAAUAUUGGGCAAUGGGGGAAACCCUGACCCAGCGACGCCGCGUGAGGGAUGAAGUUCUUCGGAAUGUAAACCUCUGUUGUGGGGGAAGAAGUAAGUGACGGUACCUCACGAGGAAGCCCCGGCAAACUACGUGCCAGCCGCCGCCGUAACAC
rnacentral:rRNA from 1 species